UACGUAGGGGGCGAGCGUUAUCCGGAUUUACUGGGCGUAAAGCGCGUUAAGGCGGUUGGCAAAGUUGGUGGUGAAAUCUCAGGGCUCAACCCUGAAACUGCCUCCAAUACUGGUCAGCUAGAGUGCGAGAGAGGAAGGUGGAAUUCCCGGUGUAGUAGUGAAAUGCGUAGAUAUCGGGAGGAACACCAGUGGCGAAGGCGGCCUUCUGGCUCGUAACUGACGCUGUAGCGCGAAAGCGUGGGGAGCGAACGGG
rnacentral:rRNA from 1 species